rnacentral:rRNA from 1 species
AGUGAACGCUGGCGGUAGGCCUAACACAUGCAAGUCGAACGGCAGCACAGUAAGAGCUUGCUCUUACGGGUGGCGAGUGGCGGACGGGUGAGGAAUACAUCGGAAUCUACUUUUUCGUGGGGGAUAACGUAGGGAAACUUACGCUAAUACCGCAUACGACCUACGGGUGAAAGCAGGGGAUCUUCGGACCUUGCGCGAUUGAAUGAGCCGAUGUCGGAUUAGCUAGUUGGCGGGGUAAAGGCCCACCAAGGCGACGAUCCGUAGCUGGUCUGAGAGGAUGAUCAGCCACACUGGAACUGAGACACGGUCCAGACUCCUACGGGAGGCAGCAGUGGGGAAUAUUGGACAAUGGGCGCAAGCCUGAUCCAGCCACACCGCGUGGGUGAAGAAGGCCUUCGGGUUGUAAAGCCCUUUUGUUGGGAAAGAAAAGCAGCAGGUUAAUACCCCGCUGUUCUGACAGUACCCAAAGAAUAAGCACCGGCUAACUUCGUG